rnacentral:rRNA from 1 species
AACGAACGCUGGCGGCGUGGAUAAGACAUGCAAGUCGAGCGCUCAUUCGGUUGCAGCAAUGUAACCGAGUGGGAGCGGCGCAAGGGUGCGUAACACGUGGGUAAUUUGCCAAAAAGUUUGGGAUAACUCGCUGAAAGGCGAGCUAAUACCGGAUGUGAUCAUCGGGCGGCAUCGUUUGAUGAUUAAAGUUGGGGACCGUAAGGCCUGACGCUUUUUGAUAAGCCCGCGGCCUAUCAGCUUGUUGGUGAGGUAACGGCUCACCAAGGCUAAGACGGGUAGCUGGUCUGAGAGGACGACCAGCCACACUGGAACUGAGACACGGUCCAGACACCUACGGGUGGCAGCAGUCGAGAAUUUUUCACAAUGGGCGAAAGCCUGAUGGAGCGACGCCGCGUGGGGGAUGAAUGGCUUCGGCCCGUAAACCCCUGUCAUUUGCGAACAAACCUCAUUAUUUAAAAGAUGAUGAGCUGAUUGUAGCGAAAGAGGAAGGGACGGCUAACUCUGUGC